rnacentral:rRNA from 1 species
UACAGAGGUCCCGAGCGUUGUUCGGAUUCACUGGGCGUAAAGGGUGCGUAGGCGGUUCUGAAAGUCUGAUGUGAAAUCUCCGGGCCCAACCCGGUAAUGGCAUUAGAAACUACAGGGCUAGAGGCUUGGAGGGGGAACUGGAAUUCUCGGUGUAGCAGUGAAAUGCGUAGAGAUCGAGAGGAACACCAGUGGCGAAGGCGAGUUCCUGGACAAGUCCUGACGCUGAGGCACGAAAGCCAGGGGAGCAAACAGG